GCUUGGCAUGUGCAAGGCCCUGGGCUUAAUACCCAGCAAAGGAAACAAUUCCUGGCCCAGUUCUUAGACUAGCCCCCAGUUCUUUGACUCUCAUAUUUCUGUUUUCUCCAGGGAUUCGGAUUGUGAAACUCCUGUCCCUGUGAUGAUUUUUGACCCUUGCUUUCCAGUCUGCCUGGAAAUUACUCCCUGUUAAUUUGCACCUUGACCAUGACCUAUGCUACCUUCUCCCAGACCCUGCUUUGUUCCAUCUGCUGGAUUUCCAUUGUCAGGGUCCUGCCCAGGACUAACCUCUGCUCAUGAACAUCUUCUGGAAUGACUGUCUUGGCACUGACCCACUCACCAUACUGACUAUGGUGAGGCGAGGCACCAUGUUGGAGAGCUCCCUUGGGAAAGAGCUGGAGGCUGAAUGAUCUACAUGGAAUGGCCAGACUCAGGAGGUCAUACCUGGCACCAAAAGAAUAAGUUAAUAAGUAAAAAUCUUAGAUAAAAUAAAGAAAGAGCAGGAAGAAAAAUCUGUCUCAUUCUACAAUCCACCAAUUUUUCCUGAGAUUAUUUGUCAGCUCUAAGGUCACUGACAGGCAGUACAUGGACUGAGUCAUUGGUACCUGCUUCACAGAUGUGGUGGGCAAAGAUAUCCUGUGGUGAGGAAGGGUGAGGGACACAGAAAGCGUCCAGACACUGGGAAUAAGUCUAUUAGUACUGCAAGGUUCUACCAUUUCUUAAGCUUCAGUGACUUUCAGCUUUAUUUCUUUCCCAUCACCCAUACACCAAAGUUUUAUUCCUAAGAUAUAGGAGACUGUUUUCCCUUACUUUUCCUUUUCCCCACCACCUUAAUGUCUUGUCUUUCAUUUCCACCUUUUCUUGAACUUAGAGUUUGUCCUGCCCUGCCUUACCUUGUCCUGUCCUUCCUUUCCCAUCCCUUCCAUUCCCUCCCCUUCCCCUCCU